UACGUAGGGUGCGAGCGUUAAUCGGAAUUACUGGGCGUAAAGCGUGCGUAGGCGGCUACUCAAGUCGGGGGUGAAAGCCCGGGGCUCAACCCCGGAACAGCCCUCGAAACUAGGUAGCUAGAAUCUUGGAGAGGUCAGUGGAAUUCCGAGUGUAGAGGUGAAAUUCGUAGAUAUUCGGAAGAACACCAGUGGCGAAGGCGACUGACUGGACAAGUAUUGACGCUGAGGUGCGAAAGCGUGGGGAGCAAACAGG
rnacentral:rRNA from 1 species